UAAAUAGAAAUGAUUUAUAGUGCUUACUUCGGAAGUACAUAUAGAGAUUAGCACGGCCCCUAUGCAAGGAUGACACACAAAUUUGUGAAGCGUUUCAUAUUUUU